rnacentral:rRNA from 1 species
UACAGAGGUCCCAAGCGUUGUUCGGAUUCACUGGGCGUAAAGGGUGCGUAGGCGGCCGGGUAAGUCUGAUGUGAAAUCUCCAAGCUCAACUUGGAAAUGGCAUCGGAUACUAUCCGGCUGGAGGAAUGGAGGGGAGACUGGAAUUCUCGGUGUAGCAGUGAAAUGCGUAGAUAUCGAGAGGAACACCAGUGGCGAAGGCGAGUCUCUGGACAUUUCCUGACGCUGAGGCACGAAAGCCAGGGGAGCAAACGGG